GACGAACGCUGGCGGCAUGCCUAACACAUGCAAGUCGAACGAGAACGACGGAGCUUGUUGCGCCUGAGUAGGGGCGAACGGGGAAGUAACACGUAAGCAACCUACCCUUCACUCUGGGGGGAGCUCGGGAAGGCGAGGCUAAUACCAGAAAUGAUCUCCCGUCGCAGGGCGGGCGUGGGAUAGUUUUGCGGUGAUGGAUGGGAUCAGGGCCUAUCGGUUUGGUUGGGUGGCAGGGGCGAACCAAGGCAAUGCCGGGUUGCGGGCCUGAGAGGGCGACCGGCCACACUAGGCCUGCGACACGGCCCAGACUCCUACGGGAGGCAGCAGUGGGGAAUCUUGCACAGUGGGCGCGAGCCUGAUGCGGCGACGCCGCGUGUGGGAUGACGUCCUUCGGGUAGUAAACCUCUGUCAGCUGGGAAGAAGCGAUAGUGACGGUACCUGCAGAAGAAGCGCCGGCUAACUACGUG
rnacentral:rRNA from 1 species